rnacentral:rRNA from 1 species
UCAAGCGAACAAGAGCAUAAGGUGAAUGCCUUGGCAUCAGGAGCCGAAGAAGGACGUGACUAACUGCGAUAAGCUGCGGAGAGCUGUAAAUAAGCUUAGACCCGCAGAUUUCCGAAUUGGGGAACCACUUAAGCGAAGAGCUUAAGAUCGUGAUAUGAAUAAAAUAGUGUCACGAAGGGAACGUGGGGAAGUGAAACAUCUAAGUACCCAUAGGAAGAGAAAUCAAACGAGAUUUUGUGAGUAGCGGCGAGCGAAAGCGAAAGAGGCCAAACCGAAUGUAGCAAUACAAUCGGGGUUCGGACUGCACCAGCGUAUUGAGGAAGCGUAGUCGAAUGGAGUUGGAAAGCUUCAUCCAAAGAAUGUGAAAGACAUGUAGACGAAACGCAGAGACAGCGCGCAGUAUCCAGAGUACGAUCGGACACGUGGAACCCGAUCGGAAUAAGGGGGGCCCACCCUCCAAGCCUAAAUACUACCUGAUGACCGAUAGAGAACAAGUACUGUGAAGGAACGGUGAAAAGAACCCCGGGAGGGGAGUGAAAUAGAACCUGAAACCUUAUGUUUACAAGCACACAAAGCACGUUAAAGUGCGAUGUGGUACUUUUUGUAGAACGGUCCGGCGAGUUAUUGUAUGCAGCGAGGUUAAGUACUGAAGGUACGGAGCCGAAGGGAAACCGAGGAUGAACAGUCCGUCAAGUUGCAUGUAAUAGACCCGAAACCGGGUGACCUAUCCAUGAGCAGGUUGAAGUUGCCGUAAAAGGCAAUGGAGGACCGAACCGACCCCCGUUGAAACGUUGGCGGAUGACUUGUGGAUAGCGGAGAAAUUCCAAUCGAACCCGGAUAUAGCUGGUUCUCCCCGAAAUAGCUUUAGGGCUAGCCUUGAAUAUAUUUACCGCAGGUAAAGCACUGAAUGGUCGAGGGGUCGAAAGACUACCAACGCCUAUCAAACUAAGAAUGGCGGAUAAAUGAGUUCAGGAGUCAGACUACGUGAGAUAAGUCUCGUGGUCAAAAGGGAAACAGCCCAGAUCUACAGCUAAGGUCCCAAAUAUAUGCUAAGUGGAAAAGGAUGUGGCAAUGUUAAGACAACCAGGAUGUUGGCUCAGAAGCAGCCACUCAUUAAAAGAGUGCGUAACAGCUCACUGGUCGAAUGAUGCUGCGCCGAAAAUUUAACGGGGCUAAGCAUAUAACCGAAGCUUAGGCAGUGAUAAACUGGGUAGGGGAGCGUCGAAUACGGAUAGAAGCAUGAUCGUAAGGACAUGUGGACUGUAUUCGAGUGAGAAUGCCGGAAUGAGUAGCGAGAAUUGCGUGAGAAUCGUAAUGGCCGAAAAUCUAAGGUUUCCGGGGGAAGGGUCGUCCUCCCCGGGUUAGCCGGGAGCUAAGGCGAGGCCGAAAGGCGUAGUCGAUGCACACAUGGUAGAGAAUCCAUGGCCGCUGAAGAUUUAAGCACACUGACACAACAUGAAGUUCUGACUCGGGCGUUGGUAGCCCCGAUCGACUGAAAUUUAGUAGGGAGAUCAGGAUAACAUGGUGGCGAGAAAAGGUGUGAGGUAUAUCAAGGCGCCCGUACCGCAAACCGACACAGGUAGAUGAGGAGAGAAUCCUAAGGCCAUCGGGAGAAGGGUUGUUAAGGAACUCGGCAUAUUAACCCCGUAACUUCGGAAGAAGGGGUGCCUCGAAAGAGGCCACAGUGAAAAGGCCCAGGCGACUGUUUAUCAAAAACACAGGUCUCUGCAAAACCGUAAGGUGAAGUAUAGGGGCUGACGCCUGCCCGGUGCCGGAAGGUCAAGGGGAAUGCUUAGAGCAAUCGAAGGCAUGAACUUAAGCCCCGGUAAACGGCGGCCGUAACUAUAACGGUCCUAAGGUAGCGAAAUUCCUUGUCAGGUAAGUUCUGACCCGCACGAAUGGCGUAACGAUCUGGGCACUGUCUCAACAGCCCGCCCGGCGAAAUUGUAGUACCGGUGAAGAUGCCGGUUACCCGCGACUAGACGGAAAGACCCCAUGGAGCUUUACUGUAGUUUGAUAUUGAAUUUCGGCACAUUAUGUACAGGAUAGGUGGGAGACAGAGAAACUCGGGCGUCAGCCUGAGCGGAGUCGCCGUUGGGAUACCACUCUUGAUGUAUCGGGGUUCUAACCUGCUCCCCUGAAUCGGGGAGGGGGACAAUGUCAGAUGGGCAGUUUGACUGGGGCGGUCGCCUCCUAAAGAGUAACGGAGGCGCUCAAAGGUCGGCUCAGCGCGGUCGGAAAUCGCGCAAUGAGUGUAAACGUAUAAGCCGGCCUAACUGCGAGACCCACAAGUCGAGCAGUAACGAAAGUUGGAGUUAGUGAUCAGGUGGUAGUGAGUGGAAAUGCCAUCGCUUAACGGAUAAAAGCUACCCUGGGGAUAACAGGCUGAUCUCCCCCAAGAGUUCACAUCGACGGGGAGGUUUGGCACCUCGAUGUCGGCUCAUCACAUCCUGGGGCUUGGAGAAGGUCCCAAGGGUUCGGCUGUCCGCCGAUUAAAGUGGUACGCGAGCUGGGUUCAGAACGUCGUGAGACAGUUCGGUCCCUAUCUGUCGUGGGCGCAGGAUAUUUGAGAAGGUCUGUCCUUAGUACGAGAGGACCGGGAUGGACGCACCUCCGGUGCACCAGUUGUUCCGCCAGGAGCACAGCUGGAUAGCCGAGUGCGGUCGUGAUAAACGCUGAAAGCAUCUAAGCGUGAAGCAUGCUUCAAGAUAAGAUAUCCCAUGAUUUCAAAUCAGUAAGGUCACUUGUAGACUACAAGUUUGAUAGGUCGGAGGUGUAAGCACAGUAAUGUGUUCAGCUGACCGAUACUAAUAGACCGAGGGCUUGA